rnacentral:rRNA from 1 species
UAACCUGGUUGAUCCUGCCAGUAGUCAUAUGCUCCGUUCAAGGGCUAAGCCAUGCAUGUCUCAGUGCACACGGUGCACCAGUGGGUCUGUGAAUGGCUCCUUACAUCAGCAGUCAUCCGAGUGAUAGAGUGAGCACGAUGCCAGGGUCUCGCAUGGGCAUCCAGUUGGACAUCCUCCAAAACCUUGAGGCUAAUACACGUUCGAAACAGUCAGCCAUGCGACUGCUCCACGCAGGACACACCCGGGACCUGUCCCCUGGCGCCCCUCACGGGGCCGACAGGGGCGGCCCUCGGGUGGUGGCCGAUUGCACCCAGCCGAUACGAAGACCAGCGGUCGCCAAGACCAGUGUGUGUGUGGCCGACUCAGGCUGGUCCCUUCCUUGGGACAGCUGCGCUGGCAGACUCCGCGUGCCCGGCGUUGCCCCUUCACGGGGGUGCGUCGUGGCACCCUGCUUGAUCACAAGAACUUCUGACCUAUCAGCUUGGACUGUGGUGUAGUGGACCACAGUGGCCUUGACGGGUAACGGAGAAUCAGGGUUCGAUUCCGGAGAGGGAGCCUGAGAGAUGGCUACCACUACCAAGGUGGGCAGCAGGCGCGCAAAUUGCCCAAUACAAAAGCCCAGUGUGAGGCAGCGACGAACUGCAGCAAUCCCGCUGGUAUUCUUCACCAGUGGGACUUGGAAUGGAUGCAAUCCAAACACAGUGAUGAGUAUCAACUGGAGGGCAAGUCUGGUGCCAGCAGCUGCGGUAAUUCCAGCUCCAAGGGCGUAUACUAACAUUGCUGCUGUUAAAACACUUGUAGUCUGCUGCUGGGCUGCAGGUCUGCCGAGUGGCCGGCCUCCCCGUUGUCUCCGUGCCCCUCGCGGGUGCGUUGCACGGGGUGUGCUGGACUCAACCCUCGGCAGUAUGCUCCUGCGCCCAAUCAUCUUCGUCUGUGGAUGGUGAGAAUGGCUCCUGCCGAAAGCCCCCUUCACUGGGGGCCAAAGCGGUCUCGCCUGCAACACUUGCAAGGACGCUCGGGGGCGUGGCCUCGCGCCACGCACGCCUCUCGGCCUCCCCGUCCGCCACCGGAGUCCACCAUCGCUGACACCCUGGAAAACUCAGUGUGCUCAAAGCAUCCUCCUGAUGGCUGAAUGCCUGUCCAUGGAAUGUCAGAGUAUCGACCGAGUGUGGCAUUGGAGAGUUGUGCUGGCCUUGGAGCCCACUCCGGGCAACCUGGUGGGUGCACCUGCGGCUGUGGCGCCCGCUGCGCGCCCGCUCGGGGGGUUCAUCCCUCCCCUGCGGGGCCGCCGCAGCGGUGCGUCCGCACCGCAGCCUGCACCCUCCAACCGGCCACGAUGGGACUGCUCAGGGUGAAAGAUAUCAGAGCGCCAGAGGUGAAAUUCUUAGAUCGCUGUGAGAUCAACCGCAGCGAAGGCGUUCUGCAAGUGCACGUCCGUCGAUCAAGAAUGAGAGUCUGGGGAGCAAAGAUGAUCAGACACCGUCGUAGUCCAGAACUGUAAACUGUGCCAGCCAGGCCUUGGCGGGGAAAUACUCCUGACCCUGCCAGGGCCACUCCUCCCACAACGAGAAAUCCACAGCCUGUGGGUUCAGGGGGGAGUACUGUCGCAAGGCUGAAACUUAAAGGAAUUGACGGAAUGGCACCACAAGGCGUGGAGUAUGCGGCUUAAUUUGACUCAACACGGGGAAUGUUACCAGGUCAGGACACAGCUGGGAUGGACAGAUUGAGAGCUCUUUCUUGAUCCUGUGGAAGGUGGUGCAUGGCCGCUCCUGAUUGGUGGAGUGAUUUGUCUGGUUGAUUCCGAUAACGAGUGAGACAUCUGCCUCCCAAUAGCCUGGAGCUCGUAUCCUGUAGGGCACAGCCCCGCGGCGGCAGCCGAGUGCGGUGUGGCGGCCUCGUGUCGUCCACACCGUCUCUCGGAGAUGCACCACGGUGGCUCCCGAGAGCUUUCCAGUUCAGCUUCUCUGAGGUGCUGUGCCCGCCGCCAAGGGCAUGCAUGCUAGAGCCAACAGCAGGUCUGUGAUGCUCCCAGAUGUCCUGGGCCGCACGCGCACUACAUUGACUCGGUGAAGGUGUCGCAACCAGCUCGCCCUCGCCGCGAGCCCUGUCCGGAAGUGGAUGGGAAAUCCUGCAAACCCGAGUCGUCCUGGGGAUAGAUGAUUGCAACUGUCUGCCUUGAACGUGGAAUGCCUAGUAUGCCUGGGUCAUCAGCCCAGACAGAUUGUGUCCCUGCCAUUUGUACACACCGCCCGUCGUUGCUACCGAUGAUGGCUGGAUAGAGUCAUCAGGAGGUCGGGGCGCCGCUGGCUUUCCCCUCGGGGACUGCCUCCGCCCACGCCGAAAUUGGACAAUGUCCAGCUGUUAGAGGAAGCAAAAGUCGUAACAAGGUUGCUGUAGGUGAACCUGC